UUUUUUCUAGGGUUUAUCAGUAUUUAUACAGAGAGUCUUCAAGGAUUGGAGGGAAGAGAGGUUUGAACAAAAUUCUGGCUUUGCUUUUUGUUUUGGUCAAUUCGGGUAACUUUUGGCUUGGUGCACACAGCAGGCAGCAGACAGAAGGCUUUGGGCAUAGUUUCAGCAGCCACAAUGGGCUUAGCAGCAACAACUUAGGGCCUUUUUAAAGUUUAGGUUUAGGGAUGAUUUUAUGUAACAGCUUGUACACUUAUUUGUAAACAUUUCAAAUGACUAAGAACUUUUAGCAAAAAGUCUUGUAAUUCCUUGUAAUUUUUCAAAUGAAAUUUUGAAUGAA